AUUGAACGCUGGCGGCAGGCCUAACACAUGCAAGUCGAGCGGAUGAGUGGAGCUUGCUCCAUGAUUCAGCGGCGGACGGGUGAGUAAUGCCUAGGAAUCUGCCUGGUAGUGGGGGGCAACGUUUCGAAAGGAACGCUAAUACCGCAUACGUCCUACGGGAGAAAGCAGGGGACCUUCGGGCCUUGCGCUAUCAGAUGAGCCUAGGUCGGAUUAGCUAGUAGGUGAGGUAAUGGCUCACCUAGGCGACGAUCCGUAACUGGUCUGAGAGGAUGAUCAGUCACACUGGAACUGAGACACGGUCCAGACUCCUACGGGAGGCAGCAGUGGGGAAUAUUGGACAAUGGGCGAAAGCCUGAUCCAGCCGUGCCGCGUGUGUGAAGAAGGUCUUCGGAUUGUAAAGCACUUUAAGUUGGGAGGAAGGGCAGUAAGUUAAUACCUUGCUGUUUUGACGUUACCAACAGAAUAAGCACCGGCUAACUUCGUGCCAGCAGCCGCCGCUGUAA
rnacentral:rRNA from 1 species